rnacentral:rRNA from 1 species
AGUGAACGCUGGCGGUAGGCCUAACACAUGCAAGUCGAACGGCAGCACAGUAAGAGCUUGCUCUUACGGGUGGCGAGUGGCGGACGGGUGAGGAAUACAUCGGAAUCUACUUUUUCGUGGGGGAUAACGUAGGGAAACUUACGCUAAUACCGCAUACGACCUACGGGUGAAAGCAGGGGAUCUUCGGACCUUGCGCGAUUGAAUGAGCCGAUGUCGGAUUAGCUAGUUGGCGGGGUAAAGGCCCACCAAGGCGACGAUCCGUAGCUGGUCUGAGAGGAUGAUAAGCCACACUGGAAGUGAGACACGGUCCAGACUCCUACGGGAGGCAGCAGUGGGGAAUAUUGGACAAUGGGCGCAAGCCUGAUCCAGCCAUACCGAGUGGGUGAAGAAGGCCUUCGGGUUGUAAAGCCCUUUUGUUGGGAAAGAAAAGCAGCAGGUUAAUACGCCGCUGUUCUGACGGUACCCAAAGAAUAAGCACCGGCUAACUUCGUG